rnacentral:lncRNA from 1 species
UGGACCGUCAGAGGAGGGUGUGGACGCUGAGACUCAAAAGCAGGAGCUGACAGAGAAGAACCAAGUAUGAUGGCGAGUGUGCUAGAAAGGUUCCUGGCGCAAGAGUGAGGAGAUCAGGGUCCCAUCAUCGGGACAUUGUAGGGAGGCAGCAGAUGGCUGAAAUCCUGGCGUGAUGUGGCUGGAUCUUGCACAAUCUGAGGACCCCUGCACUGAUGACUGGGACAGGUCCAGAUCUUUCCUAUAAAUAUAUUAAGAUUCGGAUCAGUCCUGAGCAGCAGUUAGGCCAACGCCACCCCUCGCUGCCCUGGCACCGUCUCUCAUCGACCUCAGCAGGUACGUGUCAGGAUGGAAAUGAGGCUCCAUCCCUCGCCCUUCCAAGAGGACACAGAGCAGCCUCCCUUUCAGAAAUGGGCUUCCAGGGCUGGAGAAACGAUCCAUCACACUCCCCUGAUAAUGUGGCCCUGAGGAGUAGUCACUCAGCAACCCCUCUGGUUGAUGAAGAUGACAGAGGAGAUGAAAUCCCACCCUUUGCACCAAGAGACAGGUGUCGGGCCACAUCUGUCAGCUGA